UUUCCUCCUGUGUCAUGGAGUGCACUGUAGCGUGGAUCUCGGUUUCACUGCACAUUUGUCAUCGAUUUACCGUGCGUCUCUCUCUUCAUGCUAAGGAACACGGCAUCUUACAUUCGGCAUCAGUCACCCUGGUAUCCAGGUCUGUCUCCAUUACAGCAACACGGCACUAUAAUUAGCCAGGUAUCUCCGGCAGUAAUGAUGAGUGGGAGACGAGGCUGGCAUCUACCUGCUAAGGGCUGGAGACGCCGGGCUCUGGAGCCAGAGUAGCACGCCGAGGAACCACGCCGCUCAUCAAACGGGAUAAUUAGAGUGUGUAUGGAGAUGUGAUUCCAGGACUUGGUGCAGUACGGAGACUGACGGAUGACCUCAUGCAGUAAUUCCCCAGUGGUGUGUCCUUCCCUUUGAGAGAGACAGAGGAAGAACAACAGAAAGAAAGACGUACGUACGGACAGACAGACAAACACGCUCAGGACGAUGAUGUUUAAGGUGACGGGGAUGAUGGUGGCGGCUCGUCCAUGUAAAUCCCAUAUCUGCUGUUUGCACAGCCUGAAAACCACAGCGUCCCUCCCCCAGACGGCCGCCCGACACGUCUGCGCCGGUCAGCGGGAUACAAGACGCACUCACGCGCCAUUCCAGCAAACAAACCAACAAGUGUUGCCAUAGUAAUUGCAGCGAAUGGUAGAUAAGCGCCAGGAGAAAACACGGCGUCGUGGAAGAAGACCUCUGCGCAAGCUUUACAGUCGGAAUUCCAGGCACGUGUGACAAGCACCACAUGGAUCCACCUCACAUUUGACGUGAAGACGCUAAAGCCACUGCAGGUCCUCGCCACGAAGAUCAAGCUCGGCUUGAAAGAUAUUUCUCUUUAAUAUUCUGAAACUGGGUAAUCUCACCAUGAUAAUGGUCACGGGCCAAAUCAACGAGUUCCAGUAGAGGUUAGUUCACAAC
ensembl:lncRNA